AUUGAUUCAAUGAGCAGGCACGAGUCAACCUUUCGAACUGCUGCUAAAUCCAUGGGCAGGCAAGAGACAACCUGGCGAAUUGAAACAUCUUAGUAGCCAGAGGAAAAAAAAGCAAAAGUGAUUCCCGUAGUAGCGGCGAGCGAAAUGGGAGCAGCCUAAACC